rnacentral:rRNA from 1 species
AUUGAACGCUGGCGGCAGGCCUAACACAUGCAAGUCGAGCGGAUGAAGGGAGCUUGCUCCUGGAUUCAGCGGCGGACGGGUGAGUAAUGCCUAGGAAUCUGCCUGGUAGUGGGGGAUAACGUCCGGAAACGGGCGCUAAUACCGCAUACGUCCUGAGGGAGAAAGUGGGGGAGCUUCGGACCUCAUGCUAUCAGAUGAGCCUAGGUCGGAUUAGCUAGUUGGUGGGGUAAAGGCCUACCAAGGCGACGAUCCGUAACUGGUCUGAGAGGAUGAUCAGUCACACUGGAACUGAGACACGGUCCAGACUCCUACGGGAGGCAGCAGUGGGGAAUAUUGGACAAUGGGCGAAAGCCUGAUCCAGCCAUGCCGCGUGUGUGAAGAAGGUCUUCGGAUUGUAAAGCACUUUAAGUUGGGAGGAAGGGCAGUAAGUUAAUACCUUGCUGUUUUGACGUUACCAACAGAAUAAGCACCGGCUAACUUCGUG